UACAGAGGGUGCAAGCGUUAAUCGGAAUUACUGGGCGUAAAGCGUGCGUAGUCGGUUAUUUAAGUCGGAUGUGAAAUCCCCGGGCUCAACCUGGGAAUUGCAUUCGAUACUGGAUAGCUAGAGUUCGGCAGAGGGAAGCGGAAUUUCUGGUGUAGCGGUGAAAUGCGUAGAUAUCAGAAGGAACAUCAGUGGCGAAGGCGGCUUCCUGGACCAGAACUGACGAUCAGGCACGAAAGCGUGGGGAGCAAACAGG
rnacentral:rRNA from 1 species